GACGAACCGUGCGAACGUUGUUCGGAAUCACUGGGCUUAAAGGGCGCGUAGGCGGACACUCAAGUCGGUGGUGAAAUCCUCCAGCCUAACCGGAGAAGAGCUGUCGAUACUGGGUGUCUCGAGUGGUGUAGGGGUCUGUGGAACUUUGGGUGGAGCGGUGAAAUGCGUAGAGAUCCAAAGGAACGCCGGUGGCGAAAGCGACGGACUGGACACCUUCUGACGCUGAGGCGCGAAAGCCAGGGGAGCAAACGGG
rnacentral:rRNA from 1 species